GCCGCAAUAGCUCAAUUGGUAGAGCAUCGCACUCAUAAUGCGAAGACGUGGGAUCGUUCCCGACCUGCGGCA
rnacentral:tRNA from 1 species